GCCAUUUUUACCGUCUCAUAUCAAAAAAGACGGUUACGAAUUUUCUUGUACAGCUAACGGAGGGUCAUCAGAGGGUAUCAAUAAACCAAACUCGACCCGUACUUCCGUAGCUACGAGAUCGGAGUUAGUCACUCUUGCUUGGCAAGGAAGCAAGACACCGGAAGUAAUUCCCUUGCCCGUCCCUUACGAACUCCCUCUCGAGCAGUACUCAUCUGAAGAUGUCACGUGGUCUUGGGACCGACGAUACACGAAUAAGGAUGUGUACGGUCAAGUUCGGCCUCGACUGCAGUGUGCUUUCAAAUGAGUCUUAGACUGCACAUACAGAUUAAUCGUGCUUCUAUAGA